ensembl:rRNA 5S_rRNA 5S ribosomal RNA
GUCUACAGCCAUACCACCCUGAACGUGCCUGAUCUCGUCUGAUCUCGGAAGCUAAGCAGGGUCGGCCUGGUUAGUACUUGGAUGGGAGAAGGCAACAAUAAGUCUUUUCACCCUCCUUGCAGUCACAUUUUGUAAAUA